AACGUAGCGAAAGUUACGCUAAUACCGCAUAUUCUGUGAGCAGGAAAGCAGGGGACCGCAAGGCCUUGCGCUCUUUGAGCGGCCGAUGUCAGAUUAGCUAGUUGGUGAGGUAAAGGCUUACCAAGGCGACGAUCUGUAGCGGGUCUGAGAGGAUGAUCCGCCACACUGGAACUGAGACACGGUCCAGACUCCUACGGGAGGCAGCAGUGGGGAAUUUUGGACAAUGGGCGCAAGCCUGAUCCAGCCAUGCCGCGUGAGUGAAGAAGGCCUUCGGGUUGUAAAGCUCUUUCGGCCGGGAAGAAAUCGCAUGGGUUAAUACCCUGUGUGGAUGACGGUACCGGAAUAAGAAGCACCGGCUAACUACGUG
rnacentral:rRNA from 1 species